rnacentral:rRNA from 1 species
UACGAAGGGGGCUAGCGUUGCUCGGAAUCACUGGGCGUAAAGCGUACGUAGGCGGCUUCUUAAGUCAGGGGUGAAAUCCUGGAGCUCAACUCCAGAACUGCCUUUGAUACUGAGAAGCUUGAGUCCGGGAGAGGUGAGUGGAACUGCGAGUGUAGAGGUGAAAUUCGUAGAUAUUCGCAAGAACACCAGUGGCGAAGGCGGCUCACUGGCCCGGUACUGACGCUGAGGUGCGAAAGCGUGGGGAGCGAACGGGG